CCCUUAGAUGUUCUGGGCCGCACGCGCGCUACACUGAUGCAUUCAACGAGCCUAUCCUUGACCGACAGGUCCGGGUAAUCUUUGAAUCUGCAUCGUGACGGGGAUAGAUUAUUGCAAUUAUUAAUCUUCAACGAGGAAUGCCUAGUAGGCGCAAGUCAUCAGCUUGCGUCGAUUACGUCCCUGCCCUUUGUACACACCGCCCGUCGCUCCUACCGAUUGGGUGUGCUGGUGAAAUGUUCGGAUCGGCCGUUUGUCGCGGUUUCCGCGUCAUGUUGCUGAGAAGUUCAUUAAACCCUCCCACCUAGAGGAAGGAGAAGUCGUAACA
rnacentral:rRNA from 1 species